rnacentral:rRNA from 1 species
GUGUUAAGUGGAAAAGGAUGUGGGAUUUCAUAGACAACUAGGAUGUUGGCUUAGAAGCAGCCAUACAUUUAAAGAGUGCGUAAUAGCUCACUAGUCGAGAGAACCUGCGCCGAAAAUAAUCGGGGCUAAAACACACCACCGAAGCUACGGAUUUCCUGCUUAAGGUAGGAAGUGGUAGAGGAGCAUACUGCAAGGACGAAGCCUGAUUGAGAGAGAAGGUGGACGAAGCAGUAGAGAGAAUGCCGGAAUGAGUAGCGAGAUAUAUGUGAGAACCAUAUAGGCCGAAUAUCUAAGGUUUCCUGAGUGAAGCUAAUCUGCUCAGGGUAAGUCGGGACCUAAGGCGAGGACGAGAGUCGUAGUCGAUGGACAACUGGUAGAGAUUCCAGUACUAUGUAUAAUCAGAACUGUGGGGACGCAGGAGGAUAGAUGGACCGCGGAAAGGGAAGACGCGGCCAAGUACAAAGUCAAGUUAGGUAGGCAAAUCCGCCAAAUGAUGAUGAAGUACGACGGGGACUGAAAGAAAGUAAGGAAGUCAUUGAACCACACUGCCGAGAAAAGCCGCUAUAGUGUUAUACAUACCCGUACCGUAAACCGACACAGGUAGAUGAGGAGAAAAUCCACAGGCCGACGGGAGAAGUGUUGUUAAGGAACUCGGCAAAAUGACCCCGUAACUUAGGGAGAAGGGGAGCCACGAGAGUGGUCACAGAAAAGAGGCUCAAGCAACUGUUUAGCAAAAACACAGGUCUCUGCGAAACCGAAAGGUGAAGUAUAGGGGCUGACACCUGCCCGGUGCUGGAAGGUUAAAAGGAGAGGUUAGCCGCAAGGCGAAGCUUUGAAUUCAAGCCCCAGUAAACGGCGGCCGUAACUAUAACGGUCCUAAGGUAGCGAAAUUCCUUGUCAGGUAAGUUCUGACCCGCACGAAAGGCGUAAUGAUUUGUGCACUGUCUCGACAACACGCCCGGUGAAAUUGAAGAACCAGUGAAGAUACUGGUUACCCGCAACAGGACGGAAAGACCCCAUGGAGCUUUACUGCAGCCUGAUACUGGGAUUCGAUGAUGUAUGUACAGGAUAGGAGGGAGACUGCGAAGGUAGGACGCCAGUCUUGCCGGAGUCGCCGGUGGGAUACCUCUCUUACAUCAUUGGAUUUCUAACCUGCAUCCGUGAACCGGAUGAGGGACAAUGUCAGGCGGGCAGUUUGACUGGGGCGGUCG